UACGUAGGAUGCAAGCGUUAUCCGGAUUUAUUGGGUUUAAAGGGAGCGUAGGCGGCCUAUUAAGUUAGUGGUGAAAGCGUUCGGCUUAACCGGAUACCCGCCAUUGAUACUGAUAGACUUGAGUGCGACAGAGGGUGUUGGAAUGUGUGGUGUAGCGGUGAAAUGCUUAGAUAUCACGCAGAACACCAAUUGCGAAGGCAGAUGCCUAUGUCGUAACUGACGCUGAGGCACGAAAGCGUGGGGAGCAAACAGG
rnacentral:rRNA from 1 species